GCCGACGUAGCUCAGCUGGUAGAGCAGCGGUUUCGUAAACCGCAGGUCACGGGUUCGAAUCCCGUCAUCGGCUCCA
rnacentral:tRNA from 1 species